rnacentral:rRNA from 1 species
AUUGAACGCUGGCGGCAGGCUUAACACAUGCAAGUCGAGCGAGCGGCGGACGGGUGAGUAAUGUAUGGGAAACUGCCUGAUGGAGGGGGAUAACUCCUGGAAACGGUAGCUAAUACCGCAUCCCAUAAGAUGUGCCCAGAUGGGAUUAGCUAGGAGGUGGGGUAAUGGCUCACAUAGGCGAGGAUCCCUGGAUGGUUUGAGAGGAUGACCAGCAACACUGGAACUGAGACACUGUCCAGACUCCUACGGGAGGCAGCAGUGGGGAAUAUGGCACAAUGGGAGCAAGCCUGAUGCAGCCAUGCCGCGUGGGUGAAUAAGGCCUUCGGGUUGUAAAGCACUUUCAGCGAGGAGGCGUUACUCGCAGAAGAAGCACCGGCUAACUCCGGGCCAGCAGCCGCGGUAAUUA